rnacentral:rRNA from 1 species
GGAAAGGCUUACAAUGGAUACCUAGGCACCCAGAGAUGAGGAAGGGCAUAAUAAUCGAUGAAAUGCUCCAAGGUGUUGAAAAUAAGCAUAGAUCUGGAGAUUUUCGAAUAGGACAAUCUUUCGAACUGCUGCUGAGUCCAUGGACAGGCAGGAGAUAACCUGGUGAACGGAAACAUCUUAGUAGCUAGGGAAAAAGAAUGCAAAUACGAUUCCUAUAGUAACGGUGAGCGAAAUGGAAGUAGCCUAAACCAUGAAAAUGAGGUUGUGGAUGAGUAAUACAACCUAGAUGGCGAAAGUCCAGUAGCCGAAAGCAUCACUAGCUUACACUCUGACUCGAGUAGCGUAGGACAUGUGGAAUCCCGUGUGAAUCAACAAGGACCACCUUGCAAGGCUAAAUAUUCCUAGGUGACCGACAGCGAAGUUGUGUUGUGAGGGAAAGGUGAAAAGAACCCCCAUCGGGGAGUGAAAUAGAAUAUGAAACCAUAAGCUCCAAGUAGUGGGGGGAGCUAGGUCUCUGACUGCAUGCCUGUUGAAGAAUGAGCCGACGACUCAUAGGCAGUGGCUUGGUUAAGGAAACCUAUAGAGUCAUAGUGAAAGCGAGUCUUCAUAGGGUAAUUAUCACUGCUUAUGGACCCGAUCCUGGGUAAUCUAUCCAUGGCUAGGAUGAAGCUUAGGUGAAACUAAGUGGAGAUCUGAACCGACUGAUGUUGAAGAAUCAACAGAUGAGUUGUGGUUAGGGAUGAAAUGCCACUAGAACCAAGAGCUAGCUAGUUCUCCUUGAAAUAGUUGACUGGACAUCUAAGGAUAAAGCACUAUUUUCAGUACGGGUCGUGAAAGCAGUACCAAAUCGAGGCAAACUUUGAAUACUAGAUAUGACCUCAAAAUAACAGGGGUCAAGGUUGGCCAGUGAGAUGAUGGGGAUAAGCUUCAUCAUCAAGAGGAAAACAACCUAGAUAACUAACUAAAGCCCCUAAAUGAUCGCUCAAUGAUAAAGGAGGUAGGGGUGUAAAGAUAGCCAUGAGUUUACCUAGAAGUAGCCACCUUUGAAAGAGUGUGUAAUAGCUCACUGAUCAAGUGUUCUUAUGCGGAAGAUGAACGGGGCUAAGCGAUCUGUUGAAGCUAUGGGAUGUAAAAAUACAUCGGUAGGGGAGCGUUUUACCUUAGAAUGAAGCCCCCGUACGAGCAGUGGUGGACGAAGCGAAAGCGAGAAUGUCAGCUUGAGUAACACAAACAUUGGUGAGAAUCCAAUGUCCCAAAAACCUAAGUGUUCCUCUACAAGGUUCGUCCAUGGAGGGUGAGUCAGGGCCUAAGAUUAGGCCAAAAGGCAUAGUCGAUGGACAACAGGUAAAUAUUCCUGUACUACCCCUUGUUGGUCCCAAGGGACGGAGGAGGUUAGUUAGCCUAAAGCUGGUUAUCGGUUUAAGAACGUAAGGUGCCCCUAUUUUUUUACGGUAAGAAGGGGUAGGGAAAAUGCCUCGAGCCAAUGUUCGAGCACCAAGCACUACAGUGCUAAAGCAACCCAUGCCAUACUCCCAGGAAAAGAUCGAAUGACCUUUAAACAAAAGGGUACCUGUACCCAAAAUCGACACAUGUGGGUAGGUAGAUAAUACCUAGUCACACAAUACAACUCUCUCUAAGGAACUUGGUAAAAUAACCCCGUAACUUCGGGAGAAGGGGUGCCUCCUCACAAAGAGGGUCGUAGUGACUAGGCCCGAGCGAUCGUUUACCAAAAACACAGGUCUCCGCAAAGUUGUAAGACCAUGUAUGGGGGCUGACGCCUGUCCAGUGUCGGAAGGUCAAGGAAGUUGGUGACCUGAUGAUAGGGUAGUCGACGAUCGAACCCCCAGUGAACGGUGACUGUAACUAUAUCGAUCAUAAGGUAGCGAAAUUCCUUGUCGGGUAAGUUCUUACCUGUACGAAAGGCGUAACAAUAUGGGCACUAUCUCGGAGAGAGGCUUAGUGAAAUAGACAUGUCUAUGAAGAUACGGACUACCUGCACCUAGACAAAAAGAACCUAUGAAGCUUCACUGAUUCCUGGGAUUAGGUUUGGGCCUUUCCUAAGCAACUUAGGUGGAAGGUGACAAGGCCUCCUUCCGAAGGGGCUCGAGCCAUCAGUGAGAUACCACUCUAGAAGAGAUAAAAUUCUAACCUUAUGUCAGGACCUACGGGCAAAGGGAUAGUCUCAGGUAGACAGUUUCUAUGGGAUGUAGGCCUCCUAAAAUGUAACAGAGGUAUAUAAAAGUUUCCUUAGGCCAGACGAAUAUUGGCCCUCGAGUUCAAAGGCAGAAGGGAGCUUAACUGCAAGACACACCCAUCAAGCAAGUAUGAAAGUCAGCCUUAGUGAUCCAAUGGUGUCGAGUGGAAGGGCCAUCACUUAAUAAAUAAAAGUUACUGUAGGGAUAACAGGCUGAUCUUCCCCAAGACCUCACAUCGACGGGAAGGUUUAGCACCUCGAUGUUGGCUCUUUGCCACCUGGGGCUAUAGUAUGUUCUAAGGGUUAGGCUGUUCGCCCAUUAAGGCGGUACAUGAGCUGGGUUCAGAACGUCGUGAGACAGUUCGGUCCAUAUCUGGUGUGGGCAUUAGAGCAUUAAAAAGACCUUUCCCCUAGUACGAGAGGGCCGGGAAAGACGUACCUCUGGUGUACCAGUUAUCGUGCCCAUGGUAAACGCUGGGUAGCCAAGUGUGGAGCGGAUAACUGCUGAAAGCAUCUAAGUAGUAAGCCCACCCCAAGAUGAGUGCUCUCCUAUUCUGACUUUCCCAAAGCUUUGGAUGGCACAGUAGAGAUAGUGAUGGGUUCUCUAUCCCUGCGAGGAUGGAGGAUGGAGCAGUAGAAGUUUUGAGAAUUCAAGAGAAGGUUAUGGUGAGAUGAGCCAUUUAUCAUUACGAUAGAUGUCAAGUGGAAGUGCAGUGAUGUAUGCAGCUAAGGCAUCCUAACAGAUCGGUAAACUUGAAU